UGCCCUGAAAUGAUGAUGAUGCAUUCAUGUCUCUUCUCUGAAAUAUGCCAUGAAGACACUGGAUACAUUUCUGAUCAGGUUC